rnacentral:ncRNA from 1 species
GGCGGAUUCCAAAGCGCCGGAUGCCCAGUCGGGGUACGAGAAAGCCUACACCACCGCCUUGGCCGGGUUGGCCGGCGCCAGCAUGGUGCAUGAAUCA